GUUUAAAUACGAUGCUUGAUUCGGAAGACGAUCUCAACGUGUAAAGUAAACAAAGCGUCGUUCACGGGACACACGGAUACACAGCUUCCCCGCUGUGAGAUGGUCUCGCUCCCGUCUUUGAUCAGUCGAAAUACAAGUUUCAGACCAGGGAGAUGUGGAGCUAUAUAUAAGUGUGGUUGGUCUGAGGUAUCCCAUAUUGCAGUGACAGCACAUAGCACUCGAUCUAGAACACCGUCAUCCUGAUUUGUUCUACUAUGAGGCCCCUUGUCAAAGUCCUUGUCUCUGCCUUACUUUUUUUGGCGUCAGCUGCAUAUGCCGACGGCUGUUGUCAUCACCGACAUCACCGACACAGUCACCACCGUCACAGCAGCAGCAGCAGCGGCAGUGGCUCAAGCAAGUUCAAGAGUUUCUUUCCCUCAAGUUUCUCCAA